GAUGUAGCCAUAAGAAAAAUUGUG
rnacentral:siRNA from 1 species